AAUACAGGCUGUUCCCCAAUUCAUAGAUCCUAAAAUUAUAUGAAUAAUCAGUUUUCAGAUGAAGAAAUAAAAACUGUCUCUAGCCACAUAAAAAAGCACUAAAUCACUAUGAAGAAUACAAAUUUAAACAACUCUUACUUUUCAUGCCUAUCAAAUUUUCUUAACGAGACAGGAAAGGAAAAUGAAAAAUGUUGGAGGUGAUGGGGGAAUAUUUGAGACACUAAGGUACAGAUGGUGGAAUUGUGAACUGAUUCAUCUAUUCUAGAGAACAAUGUGGACAUAUGAUCAAGGAGCUAUACAAUUGUGCAUAUUCUUUGACUUGGCAAUAUCACGACUAAGACAGUAUCCCAAAGAGAUUAGAAAUUUUUAAAAGAUGAAACAAAAAUCCCUAUAUGUACAAAAUAAUUUAUGGCACUUCUUUUUUGUGUUGAAGAACUUAAAAUUUCAGGGAUAACAUUCAAUUGUGAAAUGGCUGAAAAAUUUGUGGUAUGUGAUUGCAACAAUAUUAUUGUGCUACAUGAAAUGAUGAUUAAGAUGAUUUCAAAAAACCUGGAACACUUAUAUAGAACUGAUGCAAAAUGAAGGGAACAGAAGCAGAACACUGGGUGCAUGAACAGCAAUGCUAUGCAAUGAUCAACUGUAAAUGACUUUGCUAUGCCCAGAAAUACAAAGAUUGAAAGACAGUUCUGAAGAACUGAAAAAUGUUAUCCACUUACAGUGGAAAAGGUGAUGGAAUCUAAAUGCAGAGCAAAACAUAUUUUUUUUACUUUAUUUUCCUUUUUUCCUGGUAUGUUUUAUUUUUCAACAUGAUGAAUAAGGAAGGAAAUAUUUUUUACAUGACUGCAUAUGUAUAAUCUUUAUCAAAUUGCUUACCUUUUUAAUGAGGUUGGAGACCAGGGUGAGCAGGAAAGAAUUUGGAACUUAAAAUAGAUUUUAUAUGUCCUUAGAAAAAAUUUUAAUCAUUAAAAAUAUUUUAAUGUGCUUACAUGCUGAAAGUUAGAAAGUUCAGCAAAAUCAUUGGUCUAGGGCAGACUGUAAACAGAGUCAGAUAUAUAAUUCCAUUGCAAAGCUAGAGUGACCAGGCCAACUGUACUGGGAGGAAAUUUUAUUUUUACUGUUGCUUCAGAUGUUUUAGGCUUUCAUUAUUAUUACUAUUAUUAUUUUUGUAUUUAUAGGUGACAACGAACUGGGGCUUUGUACUUGUAUCUUCUUUGAUCCAGCAGAUGAGGAUGGAAAGGAACCAGGGGUUUUUAUAACUGAAAUUAUUGAAGGAGGUGCAGUUCACAAACUUGGAUGUAUCCGUGUAUUUGACCAGAUUAUUAAAAUAGGUGACAUCAAUCUAAUUGGAUUGGAUGAAGCAGAAAUCGUCUCUACUUUUAAAAAAAUGGACGAUUCUCCUUUCCAGUAAGUAAAUUUUCCCACAUUUCUUUAAGAUGCAGAGAUUGCUAGAUCAUUGUUUUUGAUUUGGAAAUUUCUUUAGCAAUGUGUUCAAACAGAAAAAUUGGGGAGAAAGAUAGCCUAAUUAACAUGUUUAAAUAAUUUCUCUUUUUGACUUCUUUUGCUAGGAAAUGACCCUCUUUUUUUCUGUUCAGCAGUUCACAAGACAUUUUAGGACCCAUUUGCACCUUCCUUUCUGAAUACUCUAUCACAUCUCAAGCAAACCCUUAAUUUUCGUUUGCAUUUAUUUUUAGUUAAUGAAUUUUUAUUUUCUUGGCAAAUAAUGCUCCUUGAACCUGAAGAGGUUUUUUUGUUUUGUUUUGUUUUGUUUUGUUUUUGUAAGAAUGACAGCUUAGCUGAAUUUCCCCAUUCUGCUUUUUGCAUGGCUAUGUCUUAAUCCAAAGUACAUAAAUUAAAUGUGGAUAUUUUGUACCUAGGAUUGAAAUUGGCCGCGAACCACCUGAAGUCAAGUCAGAACUUAUCGAACUCCUCGAGUUGUCAGAGGAAAGGAAGAAAUAUUUUAUGGAUUCGCUCAUAGUACAGGUAUUAUGUGAACCAAAUAAAAAAGUGCAGAAACGCAAAAUUCUUUCUUUUUUAUCAUAACAAUAUUAAAAUAAAAUUUUUGUUCUUUAAAA